AUGAACGCUGGCGGCGUGCCUAAUCCAUGCAAGUCGAGCGAACGGACGAGAAGCUUGCUUUUCUGAUGUUAGCGGCGGACGGGUGAGUAACACGUGGAUAACCUACCUAUAAGACUGGGAUAACUUCGGGAAACCGGAGCUAAUACCGGAUAAUAUUUUGAACCGCAUGGUUCAAAAGUGAAAGACGGUCUUGCUGUCACUUAUAGAUGGAUCCGCGCUGCAUUAGCUAGUUGGUAAGGUAACGGCUUACCAAGGCAACGAUGCAUAGCCGACCUGAGAGGGUGAUCGGCCACACUGGAACUGAGACACGGUCCAGACUCCUACGGGAGGCAGCAGUAGGGAAUCUUCCGCAAUGGGCGAAAGCCUGACGGAGCAACGCCGCGUGAGUGAUGAAGGUCUUCGGAUCGUAAAACUCUGUUAUUAGGGAAGAACAUAUGUGUAAGUAACUGUGCACAUCUGGACGGUACCUAAUCAGAAAGCCACGGCUAACUACGU
rnacentral:rRNA from 1 species